CGUUAACAUGCGCAUAGCUAUGUAGCAACACAGCUAUGACUCAUCUUCCCAAUCCCCAAUAACAAUUACCGGAGCCGGGCUUCCACUAAAGACACCUGGCUUGUCAUCCCCUGCUACCCGUGGACCUGUGGCCUGCUCGGCCCGGAGUGAGCUCCCUCCCUCCCCCAUGCGCGGUGCUAAGCUAAUCGGCAGCUCCAGCCCCGGCUGGGUCGCGGUAUCGGUCGGGUGGCACCCACCCAGGCCCGCCGGUUGCAGCUGUCUGCGGCGAGGAAGUGUGCGGACCACGGCCGCUACUUACUGCUGACUUUCAUGCUGCCGAAGGCCGAGGGCUGCGGCAGCGGCUUGCAGCUCUCCGCGAAGGAUGUGGUCCUGGGCCGACCCGACAUGAUCCAAAGUGCUUCGUGGUCUCAAGUCUCGUUAAACGCUUUUCAUCCAAAAAAAAAAAAUAAGGGAUGAUGACAGCAAAUGUAUUGCACAGCCUCUUUACACCUAACAAACUAGCCUAUUUUAAGUCCAAAUCACUGCAUUAUUCGUGUAUAAUUCUCUCUCAAGGGGCCCUUUGAGACACCUAGUAAAAAAACUCAUGAAUUGGGCCUCCUCUUUUUGUUUUAAAAGCAGAAAAAUCAGUCAGAAUCCCGUCACAAAGAUGCUAAUGUUAGCAUGUAGGCUAAAUGCGGCGUUUUGAGGCCCAUCCAGUCGCUCUUCAUAUCCCGAUUUGGAGCCUCAAUGAUCCGACUGCCAUGGCGGCUCACUCGCCGUAGCGGAGCUGGAGAGAAAAAAAAAACGUCCACUUUCCGCAGUCGUCUUCAGCGUUCAGUCAAUACACCUCCCCGGGCCGAAUCCUCGCCCAGGCUAACGUUAAAUUCCAGCUGGAACGUCCAAGUAAAACAGCUUCAUACUAUGGAGAAAGACGGCACGGGAUUUCUUUUUUUAUUCCUUCCCAAUAGGUCUUGCCGUCUUUGUCAGUACGCCAUUGGCGUAAACGCGAACAGGACCAUGUGAAUCUCACGCCGUUAACGUAACCCCAAAUGGAGAAUAAGAGAAGGCCGUGAGCUCGCAAUGGCGAAUCUGGGGUGGCCCGAGUAGACCAAUCGGAGACGGCGAUAGUUCCAGGAGUGGGCGUUAACUGUGCGUCAUAUGGACCAAUCAGAACGGCGUUCCGGAACACCACAUGGCAUCGCUCUUGGUACCGCCCCACAUGACUUCAAAGGAUUCUAGACAGGAAUAAAAAAGGCGGGUCUGCUAGCAAAGGUGGAUGGCUUUUGCGGCCAAUUGCGUUUCGACAUAUGAGUGUCGUUUCAAACAGUCGUCAGCUGACACCAUUCAGCACUGUUGCCAGGACAGGAGAGUGGGCUGCAGGAGGAGUUCUGGAGCUUGAUGAAGCGACAAGCUCAGAAGACCCUGGACGGUCAGCAUCAAUAAAACAAGGAAAUAGAUGUCGUCCUGGCUGUACACUGAAGGCUGGCUCUUACUGGGGCUGCUGAAAUACUUGGCCAUUUGACCCGGGUUGUUCUGAUCCUCUUCAAAGUUCCGCCACUCAGCCAGCUGCGUGGAGGUUAGUGGGAAGGCUGGAGCCUAUCCCAGCUGCACUCUGGCAGAAGGUAGGGUACACCGUGGACAAGUAGCCACCUCAUCGCAGGGCCAACACAGAUAUACAGACAAGCAUUAGCAGUAAAUAUAUGUAACUUUUUUUGUAAUUUAUCCAAUAUAUUCCAUUAAAAAUACCACUUUACUGACUAAAUAUUUAAACUUUUUUGUUAGAACAUUUUUAAAAUGUAUCUAAAAAAAAUAUUUUUAAUAAAUUACCAGUUUGGUAAUUAAUUUAUACAAUUAUUUUAUUAUUGUAUCUUUUUUGUUGGUAGAUAGGAUUAAAUAAAUAUUAAAAUGCUAAUAAUCAAAAGUGAACUGUAAUAAUUUCAUGUAGCAAUUUACAUGGUUUCACAAUUACAGGCACCAGCGAUGUAACCCAAGGUAAAAAAUAAAAUAAAAUUUUGACUCAUUUUGUAAUUCUGGAAAAAUAAACCAAGUUGCACAUUUUCACAGUCGUUAAGUUGUAGUCAAUGAUGUUCCAUUCCAGGCCUGUAAGUGGCGGUGUUGCACUUCCCCCUUAAUGGUAGGCUACAGUACCAGUUUUCAACGUAAAAUUACUGAAAAUUAGUAGUUACAAAACACUUCUUACUUUUGGUUAAAAUUGUAUUUUUAAAAACGAUAUACCAGUAAAAUAUGUUUUUAAAUAUAUAUUUGCAUGUACAGAAGAAGGCAGAAUCUUUUAAUACAGCUCUUGCAUAGAAUCUCAUUGACUUGUUUAGGUGUGCCUAAUUAUGGACUCGCAAGUGUUUCCUACCUGAGGAACAAACAACAUGCAGUUGGUGGCCAGCGUACAGAUGAAAAUGGCUCCACCCACAAUGCUGUAAACCAAAUUGGGCCAAGCCUGCAUGAAGACUGACACGGGGAUGGCCACAGUGGAGCAGAGGGCCACCAAAGUGACAGCGGUUAGGAUGGUGGGAGACUGGUUGACCGGAGGGUGGCUGACAUUGCUGGUCAGGCCGGCUAGAUAUGUUCCAUAGAGGAGGAGACAACCCUGAGCAAACAUGUAGGGAGAAAGAAGAGGUCAAAAACUUUUUAUUUUUUAAUAUAGAGCACAUAAGGAGUAGUUGGGCCGUACUGAAAAGAAAAAAAAAUAAACAAAAUUAGAGCAACCUAUUUUUUAAUGGGUAGAACACAUUUCCUCUUCUUUCUAUGACUUUUUGAUUAAAAAUCACAACUUUUUUUUCAAAUUUUGUUAUCUUCAAAUUAUUACAACAAUUCUGUAGUUAUAUGACUUUACAGUACCUUUUUUAAACUGACUUUGUAGUUACUGUACAUAGUGACACUAUGUUCAUACAAUUAUAAUUUUUUGUUGUAGUCUGCCUUUAUGCUGUAAAUGUUGGACCAUAUUUUUUGUGAAAUUACAAACCAUGAAAUAUUUGGACUUUUGUCAAAAUUCUUACAUUUGUUUAAAACAUUAACAUUUCUGUUCAAAUUCAUCACUUUAAUCUUUCCAAAACAAAUACUUUUGCGAAUAUAUUCUGUAUAGCAAUACUGUAUUUUUGAUAUUAUAUGGCAAUACUAUAAUGUAUAAAGAAAUAUGAUUAUUGUUUAAGAAAUUACCAGCUUUUUUGAUAUUUUCUUUAACUUGGAGGAUCAACUUACCUUUUUAACAGCUAUAAUGAUGACCCAUAGAUGCGAGUACACCGAUGAACAGGAAUGAAGCUGAGACAAAGAGUAGGAUAUGUCUUUCUCCAACAUCUACAACCGGGAAAACAUGCACAAAAUGAGGUGAACGCAAUUAGUAUUUGUCAUAAGGCGUGUAUCUCAUGCUUAAUCAUAUUAAUAAACUCAUGAAGUAUUUUUUAAAAGUAAGUUUUAGGGAUGAACAAUUUUGAGAACAAACCUAAUUGCGAUUUUUCUCCUCAAAAUUGCAAUUGGAUUUGCCAUUUUUAAAUUUCAUACAUAUCCAGUAAAGGCUUAGAACUGUGAAAAUAAAGAGUGAAAGAAGACAUGUUACUUUGACACUGCCAAUUUGAAUUUUCCUGAGGGAACUCUCCUGAAGGAAUCAAUAAAGUACUAUUUAUUUAUCAACAUAUCCAUGUCUCAAGGUGCCACACAUUUGAACAUCCCUCCAUUUGGAGCCUAUCCCAGCUGCACUAGGACAGAAAACAGGCUCCACCCUGGACAAGUCACAUAUUGGAACAUCAAUCCAUUUAUCCAUCCAUCCAUUUUCUACCGCUUGUCCCUCUCUGCGGUCAUAGGCGGGGGGCUGGAGCCUAUCUCAGCUGCACUUGGGCGGAAGGCAGGUUACACCCUGGACAAUUCGCACAUAAGAACGAUAGGCAUUAAUUUACUUAAAAAAAUAUUUUACUUUAUGCAGACAGACUCAGAGCUUUUUUCUACAUCAUGCUCUCAAACUGAAGAAAUAUUCAAUAAAAACUAUACAGUGACCAUGAUGCAAUAUAAUCAAAUUCAUAAUAAUAAUGCUAGUAAACAUUUAAAAAGGAUAUGAUCUUGUUUCUCAUUAUUGUAGAAUUGUAUAUCAUUGUUACAACUGUAAGUAGAAAGUAAAAUAUUGUGUAGUCCUCAAUAAACAAACAAAAACUUAAAUUGAAUAAUUUAAAUAAGCAGAAAUAUAACUUAAAUAAAUAUUGAACAUCUUAAAGUGCAUUUAUUUUCCCUCAUUUGGAAAAACUAGGUUGGACGUUGUCUUUUUUUUUUUUUGUUGCCAUGACAUGAUCACUGCAUUCUCGCUCGCCCGUCCGUGUUGAUGGGCUCAUAUUGCCCCUCCGAUUUGAAGCUUAAAUAUUCACUGGCGAGUCGUGAGAAUGGAGGCUGUUUGUCUGUGCUUCCCUUUUGUAAAGCUGGUGGUCUUCUACUCCGGCUAUAUAGACAAAGAUUGUGGAUGACUGAAAAGAGGGCUCACUGCGUUCAGUUAAUUCAGUUAAUAAACACUCGUGUGCUGAGAGCCAUGCAGUGUGACUUUUUUCUCCCUUGUUUGAAGCAAGAAACAUAUAAACGCAAGGCUCAACGGUUCCGAUUGGCGAACAUGUCUGUCACUCAAAUGUCGAUGACGGAGAAAAAAAAAGUCAGCCUCUUGUGAUUACGUUAUCUCACUAAUUAAAACCUAAAUGUUGAUUAAUCAUGCAGCCUGACUUCACAAUCAUUGAAAGUUAUUAGACGUACCUUCACCACCGCAGUGACUGAUUGAGAACAACGAAUGGGAUCCGUGAGGUUCCAGGCAGUAAGAACCAGCAGGUCCAUCAGGAGCAGGAGGGCAACCAUAGCCAUCAGCUGGAUGUCUCGAAUGAUCUGAGACAGGAAGACCAUGAGAUGAAAAAUGUGUCAUCUCAAUACAUAAAAAAGCUUGUGUUUUUAAAAUCUUUAAUACAGAGGAGUAGAUUCUUAACAUGUAUAGUCAUUUUUGGAGCAACUUGGUCAAUGUGUCUGCCUGACUAUUUUGCUGGCAGAUCCUCCUUUCCUUUCUAAAGUGUGUGAUGCAAAAGGAAGCCUUUUGCCCACGAGUUGCCUACGUAACGGCACAAUUUCUUUUCAUGUUAGAGUUAGGUUUCACAAGUAAUUUUUCUUAGCAACAAGUGGCCAAACAAUCCCGUAAAAUGAGUUGGAUAAAGAAUUUCUUGAUAUGUUUUUGUGACCGCUAGUUAGCUCUUGUAGAUCACCGAAAUGCAUCCCUCCAGGCAUCCUCCAAUUACAUGUGUAUGUAAACCAGAGAUGGCGGCUGGUCUUUCAAGUAGGGGAAGCUCAUUUUAAUCUACUCCCUUAACACGUUUGCAGUUUCCAAUAACAGAUAAAAGAUACAAAGAUGUUAGAUUUUACAAAGAAAACGUCACUUGGAGGAUUGUAAAAUUCUCCAUAUCAACUCGAAACAACAGAAUAAAACUUGUAAAAUGCUCUGGCAGUUGUUUGUAUUUUAAAAUUGCUGAUUGGCUUAUUUGGCUGUCAAUAAAAAAGGGAUUCAGCCUCAGAGAGAUCAUGCCGAAGUUCAGCGGCCAGGCCAGCCGAGGCCAAACCCACUUUCCAUUCCAAAGGCUGUUGAGUUUGGCUGCAGUGGAACAACCGACUUUAUGCUCUGCCACUGAAGUCAAUGGACGCUCAGCUUCAACACAGUUUGUUUUUUUAACAUGUCCUGUCCAGCCACUCAAGCAAAUCGUAUUGUUGAUGUAGAUGCCCAUAUCUGUUGUACGUAUUUGCUUUACAAAAGAUUGAUGGAAUGAUUGACAAAAGAGUAGUGCGAGAUACUCCUUUGGUUGCUUUAUUUGUAUUUGACUUUAUUAAAUGGAUGUAUUUAGUGUUUGACGCAGCCGGACCGGAACAGGAGCGUUUAGGAAGAGGAAAGAUAAAAGAAGACAGAGGUUUAAAUUGAGGGGACAAGAAUACUGUUUGAUGCACUGUGGCAGUACCACAAUUGAUGGGAAGAAAUUUUCAUUAGCUGUUACGAAAGUAACUGACUCUGGACAAAAGUUAUACGCAUUAUGGCACAUAUUUAGUCUAUGAAAUAUAACCACUAAAGCAGUAGUUCUUAACCUUGUUGGAGGUACCGAACCCCACCAGUUUCAUAUGCGCUUUCUUUGUGAAAAAUAAAAUGUUUUUUUUCAAAUUCAGGACAAAGUUAUAUGUUUCUUACUGGUGCACAAAAUGAACCGUGCAUGAUCAUGACUUUGUACAAAGAACAAAACCAACACAGUGCAUGAACUCACAACAAAUUACACACCUGCAAAUCAGUGUGACUUCUGCUGUUGCCUUUAAGAGACCAGUUCAGAUAUGCGUGGCCUCACUUUGGCGAGUGCCACUCAUGUAAUUUUCGCAGCAAAGUCUGUUCUUUUUCUUCGUUUUCCACCCAGACGUACAAUACUAGUACACAGCUCAUGAAAAACAAUAUUUUUUGUUAUUGUCAUCGUACGUGGGAGGCCAAAAUACUGAUAUUAGAAAAUUAUCUCAUCAAAUGAUCACUGUCUUUUGAUUAUAAUAAUAAAACAUUUAACAUGUUAUUUAGUCAGGUUUGGGAAAGGUGUGCUGCUGGUUAGGCCACAGUGCAUGUGCACGUCUGACGUCGCUCAAGGAGUUUUUGCGUUUGCUCACGCAUAUGGAAAAUUAGAGGGAACAUUGUUUGGCGGUAUCCAUAAUACGCCGAUAGGGAGAAGUUUUUAUUUACACGAUGAAUCGGGUGAGUCUUGACUUCCGCGGCGGAGGCUCCGCCGAACCCCUGAGGCCGACUCACCGAACCCCUAGGGUUUGAUCGAACCAAGGUUAAGAACCAUGCACUAAAGUACAAAUUUGACCUCUUAUUUUUUUGAGAUAUUUUAGGAGAAGCUCUGCUUUCCUUGCAGUCUUAGAGCGGUAUGAUUUAUACAUUCCAUAAAAAGUUGCCCAACUAAACCAUCAGGUUCUAAUAAGAAGAAUUGAAUGACAUUGGCUUUAUAAAACAAACAAAUCUAAAUUAAGAAAGUAAUACCAAUUUGGUGCACUUUGACAUCUCAAGUACAAUUGUUAUCCAGUAGAACUACACUUUUUAGCCUUACCACUCUCUUGUCAGGCACUCUCUGAGUGAACACCCUGUACAGUCUCCACGUUUUCCCCAAAAUAGGUCCAAACACCAUUGUGCUGCCGAGACAGAGAGUCCAAACCUGAGCCUGGAAAAAAAAAAAAAGAAAUAACAUAACAAUCAAACAAUUUUACAAUAAAAUGCAGAUUUAAAGGCCUACAGAAACCCACUACUACCGACCACGCAGUCUGAUAGUUUAUAUAUCAAUGAUGAAAUAUUAACAUUGCAACACAUGCCAAAACGGCCGGUUUAGUUUACUAAAUUGCAAUUUUCAAUUUCCCGCGAAGUGUCGUGUUGAAAACGUCGCGAUAUGAUGACGUAUGAUGACGCGUGCGUUUGACGUCCCCGGUUGUAGCGGACAUUUUUUUCCAGCCCGAUCCAAGCUAUAAGUAGUCUGCUUUAAUCGCAUAAUUGCACAGUAUACUGGACAUCUGUGUUGCUGAAUUUUUUGCAAUUUGUUCAAUUAAUAAUGGAGAAGUCAAAGUAGAAAGAUGGAGGUGGGAAGUGGUGAAUUGCAGCUGCCUUUAGCAACACAAACACAGCCGGUGUUUCCUUAUUUAAAAUUCCCGAAAGUGAAGCUUUACUAUGGAACAGAGCAGUCAAGCGAACAUGGUUCCCGACCACAUUUCAACCGGCAUGUUUCGGUGAGAAAAUUGUGGUAAUAAGUCGGCUCUUACCGUUGUUAUGAGCGGAGCUUGAGUCCUCCUGCAGCUGUGUGGCUUCCCUCAGAGACACUGGCGGUCACCACAUCCGUGGCCACACCCCUCAGACUUUCAGGUACCAUAUAAUCUCGCUAAAACACUAGUAACACAAUAAACAGAUAAGGGAUUUUCCAGAAUUAUCCUAGUAAAUGUGUCUAAUAACAUCUGAAUCGCUCCCACUGCCCUCGCCUUUUCUUUUUUCUUUUCUUUUUCUCUCUCUCUAGUCCUUCGCUCUCACUAUCCUCAUCCAUGAAUCUUUCAUCCUCGCUCAAAUUAAUGAGGAAAUUGUCGCUUUCUCGGUCCGAAUCGCUCUGGCUGCUGGUGGCCAUGAUUGUAAACAAUGUGAGGAUGUGAGGAGUUCUACAACCCGUGAGGUCACGCGCACAUCGUCUGCUACUUCCGGUACAGGCAAGGCUUUUUUAUUGGCGACCAAAAGUUGCAAACUUUAUCGUAGAUGUUCUCUAAAUGAUAAAUAAAUAAAUGGGUUGUUCUUGUAUAGCGCUUUUCUACCUUCAAGGUACUCAAAACGCUUUGACACUACUUCCAGAUUUACCCAUUCACACACUACUAAAUCCUUUCAGCAAAAAUGUGUCAAUAUCGCAAAAUGAUUAAGUAUGACACAUAGAAUGGACCUGCUAUCCCCGUUUAAAUAAGAAAUUCUCAUUUCAGUAGGCAUAUAAGCACAAGUUACAUGAAGCACUGCCGUCGACUCUUCCAUUUGCGGGUGUGAUCGCCCGUCCGUAGCGAACAGGAAGCCACUGCUGUAGGUUACGAUGCUUCCAAAGAGACUCAGGACAUUGAGGUUGGGACUGGACAUCUUGACAAUCCUAAAGGUGGACAAUCACGCAGGGUGAAGAGCAGGAAGCAAAAGGCCAGCACGAUGCCGCAGGAGAGCAGCGUCCACACCACGGCACUCAGCACAGGUGAGAGGGAGCGCCUUGGAGGAUCCGCGGUCAUCUGAGAAGACGGGUAACAGGAACACCCCACAUAUUAGCUGCAACAUUUGGACACUGACAUGAAUAAUUCUCUGUAUUGGCAUGCAUGUAAUACAAAAUGGGUGUUUUUACCUUGCUGAGAGUGCACAGUCUGUACAUCACCUCCAUGCUCUCCUGCCUGUUGACUUCUGAGUGGAUGAGACAGAGUGGGGAUUCACAUUGGAAGCUGCAGUUCCACUCAGCUUCCAUGUUUGGCCUCCGUCAGUGCACUUUCACGCACACAUCCUAUGAAAUUAAUGGCAGGGAAUGGAAAAUAAAACGUUAGCAACA